CACAACCUGACUAAACGUUUACGCUCGGCGCUUUUUGAUAGGAAGCAUUUCAGCUGAAGAAAGAAGGCACUUGUUGAGGACAGGCCUACCAGGAGUUUAGAUCUGAGGAGGAGCGUAAGCUUGCACAGAUGUCGAGCUGAUCUAAGAAGCUGUGUGUUUCAGAGACAACAGCAUGCUCUCCAUCACAUGAAACCAGCCGGGAUUUCCCCGACACAGGCAGAGAUCUAGGCGUGACGCGGUCUGUGCUGGCACAAGGGGGAAUACGUUGGGGAAAAAGGAAUGUCUGCCUUCAUUUCCGACAGAUACCCGACCCUCCUGUGGGAGAUGGUGAGCAUGAAUGAAGCCGACGAACGCAUUUCAAUAAAGUCAGCGAGCCAGAGGUGGCCUUUUUCCACCACCUGAAAAAGACAAAGUCAUCCCCAGUGUGUUCAGGAACCUAUGAUUGACGCAUUGAUGGGGAAAGAGUCACUUUGAAGAGGCAAUAAUAACAGUGGGAUUAUUGUAUUAAGAAGUACAGAGAUGGUUUGAAGCCUCCUUUCUAUGGUUAUAGUUACUUGGUAAUCCUAUACCUGGGAAGUCUGUCGGCUUUGCAGGGGACCAAUUAAAAAGGCUUCUGGAAGGAUAUAAUACAUCAGUCCCUCAGCUAUGGAGAAAAUGUUCUUUCGCAUGGUCAGUCUAGCUCAGGAGUUAUCCCAUCCUCAUCUUCUGCAACUUAAUGGGGAUGGGUCAGAUCCUCUCUCCCCAUAUCCAUUUAAUAAAGUUAUUACGGCGUGUAGAACACCGCGGAGCUGCCUUCUCUGCGCACGAUGUCAUGGGUGAGCGAUUAUGAAGACCGAGCCACUUCAUCUUCGGCGACACAACGUGGCCACGGCCUGGUCAUCUAGCAUCCAACAUGAUGGAACAGCAAACGAUCGGUGGCACCAAACGGGCUGCUGUCAGCUUCUGAAAGCUCCCGUCGUUUCUCAGAAUCAACCAAGCUCGUUACAAAUGGAUGAGUGCAGUAACUGCAGAAAUGUGCUCCGUGGGAUUAAACGGACAUUCUAACGAGGCCGAGUGUGGAUGCGGGGUCAGAUCGAGGGCUCCGCUCACCUCACGAGUCAUUCACUCGUGAGAAAGAGUCAAAUCCAAAAAAGGCUCCUAUUGUAAAAGUACAGCGUGCAGUAGCUCAAUAGUGGAAAUAGACGGUGAUACCAGGAUGAGAUGAGAUGAGUAUCUGAGAUUUAUGGUCUCUAGGGUCCCCUCAGUAAUGAUAUGUGAGAGACGCGGGGAGAGCUUCUCAUUACAAUGCUACGCACUGCUAGCCCGGUCAUGGGCCACCAUUUUCCAGACAUCCAAUCAUAGUACAGUGAAGAACAGAGCCUCCAUAUUUCACUACAGUCACAUGAGCAUCUUAUCAGGGAGGAAAGAAUAUAAAUUUUGCAUAGCUGCGUGUACAAAAUGGCUGAGGGGGAUCAAAAGCAUUUUUAGGAAUGGAAAUUUAAAGAGGGGUUGGGUAAAUGGAAACCUCAAAGACUGAAUAUUCCGUGUUAGAGCCGUAGUGUUAGUCUUGCCGAAAAUAAAACGUGCGUAUUUUCCCUUUUAACUCAACUCAGCCGAUAGGUUUUUUUUUUGGUGUCAAAUGUUUCUAUAAAUUUCAUUUUGUCCAUCCAUUUUCUGUACCGCUUAUCGCUGCUAUAACGUAAGUGAAAACAGGAACUCACUUGUUUCGCAGACGUUCCACGGCAUUAAAUUGCACACACGUGGCGGGUCAAUCUUUAAUAAAUAAAAACGAAUGCAAUCGUUGUGUCAAAUUCCUGCAGGAUGAGAGAAAUAAAACACUUUUCUUAUAACAAUGUGCAGUUAUAAGAAAAUAAUCCACUUCAGGGUGGUAACAGUAAGUCCAGUAAGUGGUCUUCAGAACCACUUCAGAACAUCUGUACUCAUUUUCAGUUGAAAUGGCCUUUACUUGUUUAUUCUUAAUCUCACACUGAGAAAUGUCACAUACGUUCGACUUUAUUCUCGAAUUUUAUUUUAGUUAUACGAUAUUCACGUCAGCGCACAGCUCAAUUUCGAACCAAAUUUUCAUGCAAAUAAUUCCUCAAGCAAUUUCCCGAGCAUGAAAGUGAUUCAUCUUCAAGAUAGAGCUUGUUUUUAGGUCUGUAACGUUAGCUUGCCCUUUUAUUUACGUAACGGUGUGGCAUACAGUGUUAGAAACCACAUAAAUCUGCACGGUUUGAGGCAAGUGUACGAUUUGUG
ensembl:lncRNA